rnacentral:rRNA from 1 species
GUGGGGAAUAUUGCACAAUGGGCGGAAGCCUGAUGCAGCGACGCCGCGUGAGGGAUGACGGCCUUCGGGUUGUAAACCUCUUUCAGCAGGGACGAAGCGCAAGUGACGGUACCUGCAGAAGAAGCGCCGGCCAACUACGUGCCAGCAGCCGCGGUAAGACGUAGGGCGCGAGCGUUGUCCGGAUUUAUUGGGCGUAAAGAGCUCGUAGGCGGCUUGUCGCGUCGACUGUGAAAACCCGCGGCUCAACCGCGGGCCUGCAGCCGAUACGGGCAGGCUAGAGUUCGGUAGGGGAGACUGGAAUUCCUGGUGUAGCGGUGAAAUGCGCAGAUAUCAGGAGGAACACCGAUGGCGAAGGCAGGUCUCUGGGCCGAUACUGACGCUGAGGAGCGAAAGCGUGGGGAGCGAACAGGAUUAGAAACCCCUGUAGUCC